rnacentral:rRNA from 1 species
GAUGAACGCUGGCUACAGGCUUAACACAUGCAAGUCGUGGGGAAACGGCAUUAUGUGCUUGCACAUUCUGGACGUCGACCGGCGCACGGGUGAGUAUCGCGUAUCCAACCUGCCCCUUACUUGGGGAUACCCCGUUGAAAGACGGCCUAAUACCCGAUGUGUUUCAUUGACGGCAUCCGAUAUGAAACAAAGGUUUUCCGGUAAGGGAUGGGGAUGCGUCUGAUUAGCUAGUUGGCGGGGCAACGGCCCACCAAGGCGACGAUCAGUAGGGGUUCUGAGAGGAAGGUCCCCCACAUUGGAACUGAGACACGGUCCAAACUCCUACGGGAGGCAGCAGUGAGGAAUAUUGGUCAAUGGACGCAAGUCUGAACCAGCCAAGUAGCGUGCAGGAUGACGGCCCUAUGGGUUGUAAACUGCUUUUAUGUGGGAAUAAAUUGGCGCACGUGUGCGCCAUUGCAUGUACCCCAUGAAUAAGGACCGGCUAAUUCCGUGCCAGCAGCCGCGGUAAUACGGAAGGUCCGGGCGUUAUCCGGAUUUAUUGGGUUUAAAGGGAGUGUAGGCGGUCUGUUAAGCGUGUUGUGAAAUUUAGGUGCUCAACAUUUAACUUGCAGCGCGAACUGUCAGACUUGAGUACACGCAGCGCAGGCGGAAUUCAUGGUGUAGCGGUGAAAUGCUUAGAUAUCAUGAGGAACUCCGAUCGCGAAGGCAGCCUGCGGGAGUGUUACUGACGCUUAAGCUCGAAGGUGCGGGUAUCGAACAGG